rnacentral:rRNA from 1 species
GACAGUGGGUGCAAACGUUGUUCGGAAUUACUGGGCGUAAAGCGUGUGUAGGCGGUCCUGUAAGUCGGAUGUGAAAGCCCCGGGCUCAACCCGGGAAGUGCACUCGAAACUGCAGGGCUAGAGUAUCGGAGAGGUUGGUGGAAUUCUCGGUGUAGAGGUGAAAUUCGUAGAUAUCGAGAGGAACACCGGCGGCGAAGGCGGCCAACUGGACGAAUACUGACGCUGAGACACGAAAGCGUGGGGAGCAAACAGG